ensembl:lncRNA PMS2P4 PMS1 homolog 2, mismatch repair system component pseudogene 4
GGAGGGAACUUUCCCAGGCCCCGAGGCGGAUCGGGUAUUGAGUCCAUGGAGCGAGCUGAGAGCUAGAGUACAGAACCUGCUAAGGCCAUCAAACCUAUCGAUCGGAAGUCAGUCCAUCAGAUUUGCUCUGGGCCGGUGGUACUGAGUCUAAGCACUGCGGUGAAGGAGUUAGUAGAAAACAGUCUGGAUGCUGGUGCCACCAAUAUUGAUCUAAAGCUUAAGGACUAUGGAGUGGAUCUCAUUGAAGUUUCAGACAAUGGAUGUGGGGUAGAAGAAGAAAACUUUGAAGGCUUAACGAUGUCACCAUUUCUACCUGCCACGCAUCGGCGAAGGUUGGGACUCGACUGGUGUUUGAUCACGAUGGGAAAAUCAUCCAGAAAACCCCCUACCCCCACCCCAGAGGGACCACAGUCAGCGUGAAGCAGUUAUUUUCUACACUACCUGUGCACCAUAAGGAAUUUCAAAGGAAUAUUAAGAAGGACUCCUAGAAGGACCCCACCCCCCUCCCCCAACCCCUGCUCCCAGGAGGACACGUGAUCACUGUAUUCAGCUCCAUCAAGAAUGGUCCAGGUUCUUCUAGAUGAUCUGCACAAAUGGUUCCUCUUCUCCUUCCUGGUGUCUGCCAUUAGCAUUGGAAUAAAGUUCCUGCUGAAAAUCCA